rnacentral:rRNA from 1 species
GAUGAACGCUAGCUACAGGCUUAACACAUGCAAGUCGAGGGGCAGCAUGAACUUAGCUUGCUAAGUUUGAUGGCGACCGGCGCACGGGUGAGUAACGCGUAUCCAACCUGCCCUUUACGCGGGGAUAGCCUUCUGAAAGGAAGUUUAAUACCCGAUGAAUUCGUUUAGUCGCAUGGCUUGAUGAAGAAAGAUUUAUCAGUAAAGGAUGGGGAUGCGUCCCAUUAGCUUGUUGGCGGGGUAACGGCCCACCAAGGCGACGAUGGGUAGGGGUUCUGAGAGGAAGGUCCCCCCACAUUGGAACUGAGACACGGUCCAAACUCCUACGGGAGGCAGCAGUGAGGAAUAUUGGUCAAUGGGGCGCGAGCCUGAACCAGCCAAGUAGCGUGGAGGACGACGGCCCUACGGGUUGUAAACUCCUUUUAUAAGGGGUAUAAAGUUGGCCAUGUAUGGCCAUUUGCAGGUACCUUAUGAAUAAGCAUCGGCUAAUUCCGUGCCAGCAGCCG